AGCAGCGACAGAUGAGGCUGGGACGCCUGGCUUAGGUUAAAGAGCUUAAAUAGGAACUGGGACAAGGACAUGGAGACCUGCAGAGCUAAGGGCUGGCCCCAGCCAGCGAGACCAAGGCUUGAGGAUGCGUCUCAGACAUUUUCACUCCCCCACAAUUUUGUCUCCAGGCACCUUUCAAGAGACCCUGAGCCUCGACAGCCUUUGGCGGAGCUGUCUUUAUACAAGUUCGGGAUCAGAUGUGAGCUCUCCUCCAGCACCCUGUCUGCUCCAAGCCCCCAGUCUUGAUGGUCACAGACCAACUCUGGAACUGUAGGAAUCCCCUCAGACACUCUUGGAUAUUUGCAUUCCGCUGGAGGGUCAUCAACCUGCUAUAAGGGCGAUUCCUGAAGACUGGAACCCCAGACUCAAAGAGUACGCAUCAGCAAAGAGACUUUGUUUAUUCUGCAGAGAACCUGCAUCCAGGGGUCCACCAUACAUCAGGAUGAAGACAGAGGUGUGGACUUUGCAGGGGCAAUUUAAAGACUGUUAGGGGGAGUGGGUGAGUUUUACCUUUCUUUCUUUUCAUUGGUUGGCUCUACCUCCAUGGGUAUGGGUGCCUCUGUGACUGGUUAAGGCUCUGGGAAAUUUUGGGGACUUUUGCUGAUUAACUAUUCUUGGCUCAAGCUAGGUGAUGAGGCAGCCUACUGAUUGGCAGCCCAUGAGCGGUGUUUUUAUUUCUGGAAUUGUCUUGUUUUGGAUUUUUCCAGUUCUGGGAAAACAGAAACUUAGGCCUAGUCUCCCAAACUGCCGGUUUGCAACCUGUCAUGGAGUCAGCCUGGCUCUGGCUAACUCCGUCCUCUCACUACCUGUGGUCACAUGUUAAGGAGACUGUUAUCAGUUAUCCACUGCCAAAGUUCCUCAGCUAGGAAUGAGACUUUGUGCCUGAUCCAACCUCUGCAUGCUGGGAUUUUGUCUGGCUCGAACACUGCUCUGAGUUCAUACAAAUGGCCCUGCUGUGUCUGGAAAACACUGCUUUCCAGUAAUGUCCUGCCACCUCUGGCUCUUCUAAACCUCCCACCUCCUCUUUCACAGUGAUCCCAGGUCUAAGGGAAGGGGGAAUCCCACUGAGGGCUGAGCAAUCCACAGGCUCUUUAUUUCGUUUUGUGUUUUUAUUGUGCUUUUGUUUUUUUGUUUGUUUGUUGUUGCCAUAUUUUUUAGACAAGACACACUACAGAGCAAUAGAGAUUUAAAAAAUGUAUGGUAUUGGUACAGAGACAGGCAGGUAGAUCAAUGGAAUAGAAUUG
rnacentral:sRNA from 1 species